UACGUAGGUGGCAAGCGUUGUCCGGAAUUAUUGGGCGUAAAGCGCGCGCAGCGCUCUUAAGUCUGAUGUGAAAGCCCCCGGCUCAACCGGGGAGGGCCAUUGGAAACUGGGAGGCUUGAGUAUAGGAGAGAAGAGUGGAAUUCCACGUGUAGCGGUGAAAUGCGUAGAGAUGUGGAGGAACACCAGUGGCGAAGGCGACUCUUUGGCCUAUAACUGACGCUGAGGCGCGAAAGCGUGGGGAGCAAACAGG
rnacentral:rRNA from 1 species